GGUCCGUUGGUGUAACGGCAGCACAUCUGGUUCUCAGCCAGACAGCAGGAGUUCAACUUUCCUACGGACUGCCA
rnacentral:tRNA from 1 species